GCCUGGGUUGCUCAGUCGGUUGAGCAUCUGACCUCAGCUCAGGUCAUGAUCUCACAGUUUGUGAGUUCAAGCCCCGCAUCAGGCU
rfam:Felis catus isolate Cinnamon breed Abyssinian chromosome D4, whole genome shotgun sequence.